AAGCGGCAAAAGCUCAAAUUUGAAAUCUGGUACCUUCGGUGCCCGAGUUGUAAUUUGGAGAGGGCAACUUUGGGGCCGUUCCUUGUCUAUGUUCCUUGGAACAGGACGUCAUAGAGGGUGAGAAUCCCGUGUGGCGAGGAGUGCGGUUCUUUGUAAAGUGCCUUCGAAGAGUCGAGUUGUUUGGGAAUGCAGCUCUAAGUGGGUGGUAAAUUCCAUCUAAAGCUAAAUAUUGGCGAGAGACCGAUAGCGAACAAGUACAGUGAUGGAAAGAUGAAAAGAACUUUGAAAAGAGAGUGAAAAAGUACGUGAAAUUGUUGAAAGGGAAGGGCAUUUGAUCAGACAUGGUGUUUUGUGCCCUCUGCUCCUUGUGGGUAGGGGGAAUCUCGCAUUUCACUGGGCCAGCAUCAGUUUUGGUGGCAGGGAUAAAUCCAUAGGAAUGUAGCUUGCCUCGGUAAGUAUUAUAGCCUGUGGGAAUACUGCCAGCUGGGGACUGAGGACUGC
rnacentral:rRNA from 1 species